GACGAACGCUGGCGGCGUGCUUAACACAUGCAAGUCGAACGGUGAAGCGCCUUCCUUUUUGGUGGGUGUGGAUGAGUGGCGAACGGGUGAGUAACACGUGAGUAACCUGCCCCCUUCUUCUGGAUAACCGCAUGAAAGUGUGGCUAAUACGGGAUAUUCUGGGUCUGUCGCAUGAUGGGUCUGGGAAAGAUAUUGUUUCGGUGGGGGAUGGGCUCGCGGCCUAUCAGCUUGUUGGUGGGGUGAUGGCCUACCAAGGCGGGGACGGGUAGCCGGCCUGAGAGGGUGGACGGUCACACUGGGACUGAGACACGGCCCAGACUCCUACGGGAGGCAGCAGUGGGGAAUAUUGCAUAAUGGGCGCAAGCCUGAUGCAGCGACGCCGCGUGAGGGAUGGAGGCCUUCGGGUUGUGAACCUCUUUCGCCAGUGAAGCAGGCCUGCCUUGUUUGUGGGUGGGUUGACGGUAGCUGGAUAAGAAGCGCCGGCUAACUACGUG
rnacentral:rRNA from 1 species